rnacentral:rRNA from 1 species
ACGAUAAAGGGAGUGAGAGACUCCCUCGCCGAAAGACCAAGGGUUCCUGCUUAAAGUUAAUCUGAGCAGGGUUAGCCGGCCCCUAAGACGAGGCGGACACGCGUAGUCGAUGGGAACCACGUUAAUAUUCGUGGGCCUGGUGGUAGUGACGGAUUGCGUAACUUGUACAUUCUUAUUGGAUUGGGUGUGCAGGGAAGCGGUUCCAGGAAAUAGCUCCACCGUAUAGACCGUACCCGAAACCGACACAGGUGGUCAGGUAGAGAAUACCAAGGCGCUUGAGAGAACUCUGCUGAAGGAACUCGGCAAAUUGCACGCGUAACUUCGGAAGAAGCGUGACCCCAUGGCACGCAAGUGUUGUGGGGUGGCACAGAC